rnacentral:rRNA from 1 species
UUUGGGAGAUGUAUAGCAAUAGCUGAUUGCACCAACAAACAGUUGAUGCAAAAUUGAUUAUAUCAAAUAAAAUUCUAGGUAGAUUUUUGAUAAUGACAUUGCUUACCUAAGUCUUGACCAAAUUACGUGCCAGCAGUCGCGGUAAUACGUAAAAGACUAGUGUUAUUCAUCUUUAAUUGGUUUAAAGGGUACCUAGACAGCGAAUAAAGCCAUAGUAGGGACUAAUUCGCUAGAGUUACUUAUGAGGGGGUAUUAAAGUACUGCAGGUGUAGAGAUGAAAUUUUGUUAUACCUCUUCUCGUAUGAGAAACUAUGGCACAGGUAUAGGUGAAAGCAUCCCCUUAUGUGAUAACUGACGUUGAGGGACGAAGGCUUUGUGUCGCGAACAGGAUUAGAUACCCCAAUAGUCAAAGCAGAAAAUGAUGAAUGUCAUAGAUUAGAUAUGCAAUUUAUUCUAUAAAUGAAAGUGUAAGCAUUCCACCUCAAGAGUAAUUUGGCAACAUUGGAACUGAAAUCAUUAGACCGUUUCUGAAACCAGUAGUGAAGUAUGUUGUUUAAUUUGAUGAUACGCAAAAAACCUUACCACAAUUUGAAUAUUUAUAUACAUCUUUUAUUGAUUUUUACUAACAUAUUUGUAGACAAUUAAAAUGAUGCCUAUGUCCCGUUUAUGAGACUAAGCAUCAAAAAAGAUAAUAUAUUUACAAGCGUUGCACGGCUGUCUUCAGUUAAUGUCGCGAGAUUUUGGUUAGUUCCAUUAAAUUAACGUAAACCCUUACUUUAUUUAUAUAUAAAGUAGUUCUCCGCUAUAUUGGAUAUGAUAACAGGGACUAAGACAAGUCAUCAUGGCCUAAAUAUUGUGGGCUAUAGACGUUGGCCCACAUAA